rnacentral:rRNA from 2 species
AUGAAAUCCGGUUGAUCCUGCCGGAGGCGACCGCUAUUGGAGUUCGAUUAAGCCAUGCGAGUCUAGAGGCUUAGGCCUCGGCGUACCGCUCAGUAACACGUGGAUAACCUGCCCUGUUCAGGGGGAUAACCUCGCGAAAGUGAGAAUAAUACCCCAUAGUUCACCAUGCCUGGAACGGUUGGUGGAUGAAAGCUCUGGCGGAACAGGAUGGGUCUGCGGCGUAUCAGGUAGUAGGGGGUGUAAUGGACCUCCUAGCCCUCGACGCGUACGGGUUGUGGGAGCAAUCGCCCGGAGAUGGAUUCUGAGACACGAAUCCAGACCCUACGGGGUGCAGCAGGCGCGAAAACUUGACAAUGCGAGAAAUCGUGAUCAGGGAACUCCAAUUGUCCCCGUUUUUACGGGGUUCUGAAUUGACUCUAAACAGGUCGAGUAAUAGGGGCGGGAAAUAUCGGUGCCAGCCGCCGCGGUAAUACCGAAGCCCCAAGUGGUCGUCGUUCUUAUUGGGCCUAAAACGUCCGUAGCCGGUUUGGUACAUUCGUGGGUAAAUCAGACAGCUUAACUGUCUGAAUUCUGCGAGCACGGCCAAACUUGAGACCGGGAGAGGUGUAGGGUACCUGCGGGGUAGGGGUAAAAUCCUGUCAUCCCGUAGGGACCACCAGUUGCGAAGGCUCUACACUAGAACGGAUCUGACGGUCAGGGACGAAGCCUAGGGGCACGAACCGGAUUAGAUACCCGGGUAGUCCUAGGUGUAAACGCUGUGGACUUUGUGUCGGGAAUUCUUCGAGGAUUCUCGGUGCCGGAGUGAAGAUGUUAAGUCCACUGCCUGGGGAGUACGGUCGCAAGGCUGAAACUUAAAGGAAUUGGCGGGGGAGCACUGCAACGAGAGGAGCGUGCGGUUUAAUUGGAUUCAACGCCGGAAAACUCACCAAAGCCGACUGUUAGAUGAAGACCAGCGUAACGAGCUUGUCGGAUUUUCAGAGAGGUAGUGCAUGGCCGUCGUCAGUUCGUACCGUAAGGCGUUCUGUUAAGUCAGAUAACGAACGAGACCCCCAUCGUCAUUUGCCAACCCUUUCUCCGGAAAGGGCGCACUAUGGCGAGACCGCUGGCGUGAAGUCAGAGGAAGGCGGGGGCAACGGUAGGUCAGUAUGCUCCGAAUGCUUUGGGCUACACGCGCGCUACAAAGGACGGGACAAUGGGCAGCUACUCCGAGAGGAGAUGCUAUCCCGAAACCCGUUCGUAGUUCGGAUCGUGGGCUGUAACUCGCCCUCGUGAAGCUGGAUUUCGUAGUAAUCGCGUCUCAAAAUGGCGCGGUGAAUAUGCCCCUGCUCCUUGCACACACCGCCCGUCAAACCAUCUUAGUUGGGGGUGGGUGAGGCUACCUUUAAUUGGGGUAUUCGAGCCUGCCUUCGACAAGGAGGGUUAAGUCGUAACAAGGUACCUGUAGGGGAACCUGCAGGUGGAUCACCUCCUAAG